ensembl:miRNA
UUCAAGCUGUUAGGCUGGUGCAAAAGUAAUUGCGGGUUUUGCCAUUAAAUAUAAUUGCAAAAACCGCAAUUACUUUUGCACCAAUCUAAUAACGCAUGCCCCUUCCUGCACUGCUGUCCC